GCCGGGUGUGGUGGCGCACACCUGUAAUUCCAGUGGCUUGGGAGGCUGAGGCAGGAGGAUUGCGAGUUCAAAGCCAGCCUCAGCAAAAGUGAGGUGUUAAUAAACUCAAUGAGAUCCUGUCUCUA
rnacentral:sRNA from 1 species